CACCGGCUAACUCCGUGCCAGCAGCCGCGGUAAUACGGAGGGUGCAAGCGUUAAUCGGAAUUACUGGGCGUAAAGCGUGCGUAGGUGGUUGAUUAAGUUAUCUGUGAAAUCCCCGGGCUUAACCUGGGCAGGUCAGAUAAUACUGGUUGACUCGAGUAUGGGAGAGGGUAGUGGAAUUUCCGGUGUAGCGGUGAAAUGCGUAGAGAUCGGAAGGAACACCAGUGGCGAAGGCGGCUACCUGGCCUAAUACUGACACUGAGGCACGAAAGCGUGGGGAGCAAACAGGAU
rnacentral:rRNA from 1 species